rnacentral:rRNA from 1 species
CCCUUAGAUGUUCGGGGCCGCACGCGCGCUACACUGAAGGAAUCAGCACGUCUUUCUCCUUGUCCGAAAGGACUGGGUAACCCGCUGAACCUCCUUCGUGCUAGGGAUUGGGGCUUGUAAUUCUUCCCCAUGAACGAGGAAUUCCCAGUAAGCGCGAGUCAUAAGUUCGCGUUGAUUACGUCCCUGCCCUUUGUACACACCGCCCGUCGCUACUACCGAUUGGAUGGUUUAGUGAGAUCCUCGGAUUGGUCCCGGAGCGGCCUCUGGUCGUGCCGGAGUGCCGAAAAGAAUGUCGAACUUGAUCAUCUAGAGGAAGUAAAAGUCGUAACA